GAGACAUGAGGAGAAUCCUGUUGAAUCUUGAAUUGAAUUGAAGACUUCAUAUCCAACUCUGAUCUCAUUAAAAUA